CUUCAGAGUCCUAGCCCCACAGUCAGUAGCUCGGCAGAGGGGGGACAAAUGCCCAAAGCCCCGGGCUGUGAAGGAAGCCUGCCAGACUCAGCACCAGCGGGGAGGGCUGUGUGCCCAUCACAGACAACCUCUGGGGCAGGCCCCCCCUCCCCACCGCCGCCCCAGGGUACAUCCUGGCACCCGCUGCAGGUGAGUCAACUCCGGUGCGACAGCCUCCAUCCUCUGCCCUGGAGAGCUGGACUCUAAAGAUGUCUCCAGCCGUGGCCAGUGAGUCACUUCACAUUACCGCAUGAGCCAGUGCCACCUCCCACCUUCCUCCCCGUGAAGAUGUUCACCUGAGUCAGCACAUCACACAUUCAUCAGGACGCGCAGCCCUAGCAUUUCUAAGAAAGAGGAAAACCAUAGCCCAGAGGAGGAGGAAGUCUUCUAAAGAGAGGGCCGCGUCCGCAGCGAGGACAGCGCUCCGGUACGGGACCCCCUACCCCGCCGCGGGAGGCGGGCCGGGCGCCGCAGUCGCAGGGGUGUCUGAGUCGGGGGCCAGAC